rnacentral:rRNA from 1 species
AGUGAACGCUGGCGGUAGGCCUAACACAUGCAAGUCGAACGGCAGCACAGUAAGAGCUUGCUCUUACGGGUGGCGAGUGGCGGACGGGUGAGGAAUACAUCGGAAUCUACUUUUUCGUGGGGGAUAACGUAGGGAAACUUACGCUAAUACCGCAUACGACCUACGGGUGAAAGCAGGGGAUCUUCGGACCUUGCGCGAUUGAAUGAGCCGAUGUCGGAUUAGCUAGUUGGCGGGGUAAAGGCCCACCAAGGCGACGAUCCGUAGCUGGUCUGAGAGGAUGAUCAGCCACACUGGAACUGAGACACGGUACAGACUCCUACGGGAGGCAGCAGUGGGGAAUAUUGGACAAUGGGCGCAAGCAUGAUCCAGCAAUACCGCGUGGGUGAAGAAGGCCUUCGGGUUGUAAAGCCCUUUUGUUGGGAAAGAAGAGCAGCAGGUUAAUACCCCGCUGUUCUGACGGUACCCAAAGAAUAAGCACCGGCUAACUUCGUG